rnacentral:rRNA from 1 species
AGUGAACGCUGGCGGUAGGCCUAACACAUGCAAGUCGAACGGCAGCACAGCAAGAGCUUGCUCUUACGGGUGGCGAGUGGCGGACGGGUGAGGAAUACAUCGGAAUCUACUUUUUCGUGGGGGAUAACGUAGGGAAACUUACGCUAAUACCGCAUACGACCUACGGGUGAAAGCAGGGGAUCUUCGGACCUUGCGCGAUUGAAUGAGCCGAUGUCGGAUUAGCUAGUUGGCGGGGUAAAGGCCCACCAAGGCGACGAUCCGUAGCUGGUCUGAGAGGAUGAUCAGCCACACUGGAACUGAGCCACGGUCCAGACCCCUACGGGAGGCAGCAGUGGGGAAUAUUGGACAAUGGGCGCAAGCCUGAUCCAGCCAUACCGCGUGGGUGAAGGAGGCCUUCGGGUUGUAAAGCCCUUUUGUUGGGAAAGAAAAGCAGCAGGUUAAUACCCCGCUGUUCUGACGGUACCCAAAGAAUAAGCACCGGCUAACUUCGUG